rnacentral:rRNA from 1 species
GACGAACGCUGGCGGCGUGCCUAAUACAUGCAAGUCGAACGAGAGCGACCGGUGCUUGCACUGGUCAAUCUAGUGGCGAACGGGUGAGUAACACGUGGGUAACCUGCCCAUCAGAGGGGGAUAACAUCCGGAAACGGAUGCUAAAACCGCAUAGGUCUUCGAACCGCAUGGUUUGAAGAGGAAAAGAGGCGCAAGCUUCUGCUGAUGGAUGGACCCGCGGUACAUUAGCUAGUUGGUGAGGUAACGGCUCACCAAGGCCGUGAUGCAUAGCCGACCUGAGAGGGUGAUCGGCCACAUUGGGACUGAGACACGGCCCAAACUCCUACGGGAGGCAGCAGUAGGGAAUCUUCCGCAAUGGACGCAAGUCUGACGGAGCAACGCCGCGUGAGUGAAGAAGGUUUUCGGAUCGU